rnacentral:ncRNA from 4 species
AAACUUUCAACAACGGAUCUCUUGGCUCUC